CCUACGGUGGGCAGCAGUGAGGAAUAUUGGUCAAUGGACGAGAGUCUGAACCAGCCAAGUAGCGUGAAGGAUGACUGCCCUAUGGGUUGUAAACUUCUUUUAUAAAGGAAUAAAACGAGGCACGUGUGCCUUUUUGCAUGUACUUUAUGAAUAAGCAUCGGCUAACUCCGUGCCAGCAGCCGCGGUAAUACGGAGGGUCCGAGCGUUAUCCGGAUUUAUUGGGUUUAAAGGGAGCGUAGAUGGUUUGUUAAGUCAGUUGUGAAAGUUUGCGGCUCAACCGUAAAAUUGCAAUUGAUACUGGCAGUCUUGAGUACAGUUGAGGUAGGCGGAAUUCGUGGUGUAGCGGUGAAAUGCUUAGAUAUCACGAAGAACCCCGAUUGCGAAGGCAGCUUACUAAACUGUGACUGACAUUGAUGCUCGAAAGUGUGGGUAUCAAACAGGAUUAGAUACCCUUGUAGUC
rnacentral:rRNA from 1 species